UACGUAGGGAGCAAGCGUUGUCCGGAAUCAUUGGGCGUAAAGCGCGCGUAGGCGGCCCUGUAAGUCCGUUGUGAAAGUCAAAGGCUCAACCUUUGAAAGCCGAUGGAUACUGCAGGGCUAGAGUCCGGAAGAGGCGAGUGGAAUUCCUGGUGUAGCGGUGGAAUGCGUAGAUAUCUGGAGGAACACCGGUGACGAAGGCGGCAUCCUGGACCAAUAUUGACGCUGAGGAGCGAAAGCCAGGGGAGCAAACGGG
rnacentral:rRNA from 1 species